rnacentral:rRNA from 1 species
UACGGGGGGGGCAAGCGUUGUUCGGAAUUACUGGGCGUAAAGGGUUCGUAGGUGGCCAACUAAGUCAGACGUGAAAUCCCCCGGCUUAACCUGGGAACUGCGUCUGAUACUGGAAGGCUUGAGGAUGGGAGAGGGAUGUAGAAUUCCAGGUGUAGCGGUGAAAUGCGUAGAUAUCUGGAGGAAUACCGGUGGCGAAGGCGGCAUCCUGGACCAUUACUGACGCUGAGGCGCGAAAGCUAGGGGAGCAAACGGG